rnacentral:rRNA from 1 species
GGCUCAUGACGAACGCUGGCGGCGCGCCUAAUACAUGCAAGUCGAGCGAGAAGGUGUAGCAAUACACUUGUAAAGCGGCGAACGGGUGAGGAAUACAUGGGUAAUCUACCAUCGAGUGGGGAAUAACCAGCCGAAAGGUUGGCUAAUACCGCGUACGCUUCCCGGACUGCGGUUCGGGAAGGAAAGCGAUACCGUGGGUAUCGCGCUCUUGGAUGGGCUCAUGCCCUAUCAGCUUGUUGGUGAGGUAACGGCUCACCAAGGCAUCGACGAGUAGCUGAUCUGAGAGGAUGAUCAGCCACACUGGCACUGCGACACGGGCCAGACUCCUACGGGAGGCAGCAGUAAGGAAUAUUGCGCAAUGGGCGAAAGCCUGACGCAGCGACGCCGCGUGGGGGAUGAAGGUCUUCGGAUUGUAAACCCCUUUCGGGAGGGAAGAUGGGAUGGGUAACCAUUCGGACGGUACCUCCAGAAGCAGUCACGGCUAACUUCGUGCCAGCAGCCGCGGUAAUACGAAGGUGGCAAGCGUUAUUCGGAUUUACUGGGCGUACAGGGAGCGUAGGCGGUUUGGUAAGCCCUCUGUGAAAUCUCCAGGCUUAACCUGGAAAAGUCGGAGGGGACUGCUGGGCUAGAGGACGGGAGAGGAGCGCGGAAUUCCCGGUGUAGCGGUGAAAUGCGUAGAGA